UACGGAGGGGGCGAGCGUUAUUCGGAAUUAUUGGGCGUAAAGGGCGCGUAGGCGGCUCGAUAAGUCAAAGGUGAAAUCCCUCGGCUCAACUGAGGAACUGCCUUUGAAACUGUCGAGCUUGAGUCCGGGGAGGGGGUAGCGGAAUUCCCAGUGUAGCGGUGAAAUGCGUAGAUAUUGGGAGGAACACCAGUGGCGAAGGCGGCUGGCUACACAUAUAUUGACACUGAGGCACGAAAGCGUGGGGAUCAAACAGG
rnacentral:rRNA from 1 species